rnacentral:rRNA from 1 species
AACGAACGCUGGCGGCAGGCUUAACACAUGCAAGUCGAACGCCCCGCAAGGGGAGUGGCAGACGGGUGAGUAACGCGUGGGAAUCUACCCAGUUCUUCGGAACAACACAGGGAAACUUGUGCUAAUACCGGAUACGCCCUACGGGGGAAAGAUUUAUCGGGAUUGGAUGAGCCCGCGUUGGAUUAGCUAGUUGGUGAGGUAACGGCUCACCAAGGCGACGAUCCAUAGCUGGUCUGAGAGGAUGAUCAGCCACACUGGGACUGAGACACGGCCCAGACUCCUACGGGAGGCAGCAGUGGGGAAUAUUGGACAAUGGGCGCAAGCCUGAUCCAGCCAUGCCGCGUGAGUGAUGAAGGCCUUAGGGUUGUAAAGCUCUUUCAGUGGGGACGAUAAUGACGGUACCCACAGAAGAAGCCCCGGCUAACUUCGUGCCAGCAGCCGCCGCCGUAA